CAUAAUCAAUUGGCUUAUAAUUGAAGUCUAGUAUGAAAGGGACUUCGGGAAUUAACUAUCUUUAAAAUAUAUAUAGAACUUACUAUAUUAAGUGAAAAUUCUUAAGUUUGAAAAAAGACGAGAAGACCCUAGAAAUUUUUUUCAACUGUACAUAUAGAAUUUUGUUGGGGCGACAGGGUAACAAAUAACUUACCUAAUGAAUAUGGAACUAUUUAGUAGAAUAAUAAAAUUACUCUAGGGAUAACAGCAUAAUAUUAUAAAGAUUGUGACCUCGAUGUUGGACUAGGGAAUAUAAUACUUAAAAGGUACUAUAUGCGGCUCUGUUCGAGCUAUUUUCCCCUACAUGAUCU
rnacentral:rRNA from 1 species